rnacentral:lncRNA from 1 species
GGGGGACCCAUCAGUGGGGUGGGGGACCCAUCAGUGGGGCUGCCCCAUAAGUGUGGGGGGGGGACCCAUCAGUGGGGCUGCCCCAUAAGUGGGGGGGAACACAUAAGUGGGGGGGGGGACCCAUCAGUGGGGCUGCCCCAUAAGUGGGGGGGAACCCAUCAGUGGGGGGGGGACCCAUCAGUGGGGCUGCCCCAUAAGUGGGGGGGAACCCAUCAGUGGGGGGGGACCCAUCAGUGGGGCUGCCCCAUAAGUGGGGGGGAACCCAUAAUGGGGGGGGGACCCAUCAGUGGGGCUGCCCCAUAAGUGGGGGGGAACCCAUCAUGGGGGGGGGGACCCAUCAGUGGGGCUGACCCAUAAGUUGGAGGGGGUCCAUCAGUGGGGUAUGGGACCCAUAAGUGGGGUGGGACCCAUAAGUUGGGGAGAGCCAUAACUGGGGGCCGCCCCAUAAGUGGGGGGGGUCCAUCAGUGGGGGCUGCCCCAUAAGUAGGGGGGGACACCCAUCAGUGGGGCAGCCCCAUACGUGUGGUAGGGGGACCCAUCAGUGGGGGGGACCCAUAAGUGUGGGGGGGUCCAUCAGUGGGGUACGGGACCCAUAAGUGUGGCUGCCCCAUAAGUGUGGGGGGGGACCCAUCAGUGGAGGGGGGGGGCCAUCAGUGGGGUACGGGACCCAUAAGUGGGGUGGGGACCCAUCAGUGGGGGCUGCCCCAUAAGUAGGGGGGGACACCCAUCAGUGGGGCUGCCCCAUACGUGUGGGAGGGGGGACCCAUAAGUGGGGGGGGGGACCCAAAUGGGUCUCAAUGUCCCCAAAUGGGCCUCAAUGUCCCCAAAUGGGCCUCAAUGUCCCCAAAUCAGAUCCCACUGUCCCCAAAUGGGCCUCAGUGUCCCCAAAUGGGGUCCCACUGUCCCCAAAUGGGUCUCAAUGUCCCCAAUUCUGAUCCCAUUGACCCCAAAUGGGUCUCAGUGUCCCCAAAUGGGCCUCAAUGUCCCCAAAAGGGUCUCAAUGUCCCCAAAUCAGAUCCCACUGUCCCCAAAUGGGUCUCAAUGUCCCCAAAUGGGUCUCAAUGUCCCCAAUUCUGAUCCCACUGUCCCCAAAUGGGUCUCAAUGUCCCCAUAUGGGCCUCAAUGUCCCCAAAUGGGUCUCAAUGUCCCCAAAUGGGUCUCAAUGUCCCCAAUUCUGAUCCCACUGUCCCCAAAUGGGCCUCGAUGGCCCCAAAUGGGCCUCGAUGUCCCCAAAUGGGUCUCAAUGUCCCCAAAUCAGAUCCCACUGUCCCCAAAUGGGCCUCAGUGUCCCCAAAUGGGCCUCAAUGUCCCCAAUUCUGAUCCCAUUGACCCCAAAUGGGCCUCAGUGUCCCAAAGGGGUCUCAAUGUCCCCACAUCAGAUCCCACUGUCCCCAAAUGUGUCUCAAUGUCCCCAAAUGGGUCUCAAUGUCCCCAGUUCUGAUCCCAUUGACCCCAAAUGGGUCUCAGUGUCCCCAAAUGGGUCUCAAUGUCCCCAAAUCAGAUCCCACUGUCCCCAAAUGGGUCUCAAUGUCCCCAAAUGGGUCUCAGCCCCCCCCUUCCCCCCAUAACCCCCCC